UUUCAACAUGCGCAGUGUGGUUGGAGCGGCGGCGGUGUUCAUUGUUUGCCAGCGCUCCCCGGCGCCGGUGCGGGACCAAGAUCUCGUGUACCACUAUUUUUCAGUCGUUGGAUGCUUCAGAAGCAAAGGUGGGUGCCAGUUGACUCGAUGCUUCAGAGGCAGAGGUGGAUGCCAAAUUGAACUACAAUCUUCUUGAUGUGUUCCUGAUGGAUGUGGCGGUUCUGGACUAAACCAUGGAGACAUCUCCUUCUGCAUUGACAUUUAUUCUGUUUUUCCUUUUAGAUCCAAGGAUGUGAUUUAAAAGUUAAAACCCUGCACUUUCUAUCAUUGUACGACAAUAUGAGACUAUCUAAUGCCUAUAACUAUAGUUUUUCAUGCAGAGUUGUUUGGUUUUCUUUCUCUUUUACUGGAUAUUUUUAUUCUUGCUAUCGCUUAUCUUAAGUUACUGCAGGUGGAGCAAGGAGGAACAAUCAGCAGAUUUAGCAUUUAUUUUGCUAAAAAUGCAUGUUAUUGUAAUUAAAAUCAAUGUGCCUUUAAUCAGCAGGCUAUCGUGGAUUCCUGGUGGUCUCGUUGAGUCAUUGUUGGGCAUGGCUGGAAGGUUGGCAAAUGUCGUUGGAUGGUACCACUCACACCCUGGUUAUAGAUGAUGGUUGCCAUGCAUUGAUGUUUCUACUCAGAUGCUUCAUCAUCAGUUUACAGAGCCAUUUUUUGUUGUUAUCAUAGGCUCUGCAAGGACUAUUUCUGCUGGUAAAGUGUAAACUGGAGCUUUUAUGACAUAAACCAAAAAUUACAGCCUCCUGACAAGCGUUUGUACGAGCUUCAUACCAUACCACAAAGCAAGAUAGAAUAUUUUGGUGUUCACUACAAACAUGUAACUAGAUUAAUUUUCAAUAUUUUCUUUUGCUAAAAUAUGUGCCUUAGUUCUAUUGUAAUUGUAUUUUUUAUUGUAGUACUAAUCUUUGGACAUAACUUAUUUCAAGUCAUUCAGGGACUCUCACCUCCUGAUCUAUUCUAUAACAAGUGAUGAGUAAACAGGGGUUGUGAGAAAAUUUUAAUUUAGGUAGGUAUUUCCUUCUACAAUGAUAUAGAUACGCAUCACAGGGCCCAUGUCCCCCUCGUUUGUUUUUGGACUGCUAUCAAAUUAGUGUUUUGUGCUUGCCUUUAGUCCUUUCUCGCGUUUCAGAUGUAUCUUGAUUUACAUUACUAGGCUCCAUAUGUGUCUGUUUGAGUUUGAUCUCUAAUUCUUUACUUAAUUUUGAUGUAGGAAAGAUUAUGUUAGCAUCAUGUACGGAGAACCUAAUGUUUGUGCAUUGGCUUCUGAAUAUGGAUCAUUUGUUAAAUGUUGAUCUACGCACCAUGUUAGUGUUCGUGCUUUUGCAAUGGAUGAGGAAAGAGGUACCAGAUGAAUAUGAAAUCAAUGCUUAAAGGACCGAGAUAGUUAUGCUUUAGUUUGUUUUUUCUUAGGUUAUCCUUCUUUUAUUUGCUUUCAGUACUUCUGUAUCCAAUCUAAACUUCUAUUUGCGCCAACUGACACAUAGAAAUUCAGUUAUCUUGUUUACUAUCUAAUAUUAGGAAAAUUUCACCAUACCACUGCACUGAAAAAGUUACUAAGAUGAUUAGCUAAAAUCUAUUAUAACUUCACUGCAGUCCUGGAAUUUUCGGAGAAAUGCCAGAAGAAUUAACCACCGCACGCCUUUAUAGAUAACACUUAAUACGGGUAAUCAGCUUCAACCAUAUAGAAAAAUUGACUUACUCUCCUACUUUAAUGCCUGCAUACAACUACUUAAAAGAUGGAUUGGCUCUCAAAUUCACUUUACACCUGCUUCUCUCAUUAAGCUGCUCUCUCCUUCUCAAGGUGAGGGGGGUGAUUUAAGUCUUCGUCUGGUUUUUUACCGUAAAGAACUUUCUGUGAGCUUCCAACUAUGUGAACAAUGUUGUGUCGACCAAGUUAGUAGAUGUGAUGUACAUGAUCUGUCGGUGCUGAAAACAUAUGGGUGCUCAACCGAAUUUAACAUGCUUCAUGUUCACCCUACAACAGUUUGUUGGCUGACUUCUUCUCUAGCUGAGGUAUUUUUCUCUAGAAAUCUAAAUUGGAAAUUCACGAACAGACUGUAUAAAGUAAAAUGUAGAUGUUACCUGGGUCAUGUUUCCCAUAUUCAAAUCCUUACUCAAGGAAUUCCUACCUUCACAUGUGAUCCUUAAUCAUGGAUUUCCCUCAUGCAUGCUCACAUAUGUAGUACUCCCUUUAUCCAAAAUUAAUUGACCAUAUUUGUUUAGACUCGCAUGUAUCUACACACUAAAACGAGCCUAGUUACACGUGAAUGCAGACAAAUCUAUGUCAAUUAAUUUAGGAAGGAGGAAGUAGUACAAAACAGUCAAAUAUUUCAUAUGCGAAGGUAUAUAAAUUCUUGGAUCAAACCCUUUCUAUGCACAAGGAGUAAAAAAGUCAGGGGCCAUAUCCUGUACACCUCAUGUAACCAGGGUCAUUGUUAUGACACGACGAAGAGGCUAAGCACACGCUGGGCGACAGCCGGAGCGGGGCCUCGAGGACUGGGACGGUUGUCGUGGAGGGUGAUCUGUACACCACAGCCUCCAAGGCAUAAGAGGCAGAAGUAGCAGCCAAGAAGGCCGAGCGGCUUUUUCUGAAGGUGAGCAUUGAUGGGGCACCAUACCUCAGGAAGGUCGACCUCUAGACGUACAAGGGGUACAGGUAGCUCAGAGAGGCACUGGAUGUGUUCUUCUUUCCCAAGUCUUUUCCUGCCUCCAGGUGCCAGCAACCAGCUUUGAUUGAGGUUAAUUUUCUCACAGCUUUUACUCUGUAGAUAUUGCAGCAGGGAAGGAUCGAACCAUGCAUUGGUCUAAUUCCCUAAUAUUAGUUCAGAUUGUUGAUCAUGUGAAUCGACCAUUUAUGAUGUGUUUUUUUUCACAAAGGGCCUAGGCCCAGCCGCCGCAUAAAUUGAUGUAUCCGGCUCAUUUAUGAUGUGUUAUACCUUCUUUUAAGCAUGUGAGGUGCAUGUAUCAUACUCUGAUGUAAUCCUGAAUUCCAUAUAAUGCAAUCACAAUUCAGGUUGAUGUAUCUUUACCUAUCCAUAUUGUUGCAUUCAUCGAAGCGACCAACAUGGUACUAUUUCUUACUACAUGGUUUGUGAGUUAGUUGACCAUCACGGUGCUCAGAUUAGGU